rnacentral:rRNA from 1 species
GAUCAUGGCUCAGGAUGAACGCUGGCGGCGUGCAUAACACAUUCAAGUCGAACGGACGAGGGGACUUCGGUCCCUGAGUUAGUGGCGGACGGGUGAGUAACGCGUGAGCAACCUGCCUCUGUGUGCGGGAUAACGUCCGGAAACGGACGCUAAUACCGCAUAACGCAUACUGACCGCAUGAUCGGUAUGCCAAAGAUUCAUUGCGCAGAGAGGGGCUCGCGUCUGAUUAGA